AUUGAACGCUGGCGGCAUGCUUUACACAUGCAAGUCGAGCGGCAGCGCGGGGGCAACCCUGGCGGCGAGCGGCGAAACGGGUGAGUAAUGCAUCGGAACGUACCCUGGAGUGGGGGAUAACGCCGCGAAAGCGGCGCUAAUACCGCAUAUGCUCUGAGGAGGAAAGUGGGGGACCGCAAGGCCUCACGCUCUGGGAGCGGCCGAUGUCCGAUUAGCUAGUUGGUGGGGUAAAGGCUUACCAAGGCGACGAUCGGUAGCUGGUCUGAGAGGAUGAUCAGCCACACUGGGACUGAGACACGGCCCAGACUCCUACGGGAGGCAGCAGUGGGGAAUUUUGGACAAUGGGGGCAACCCUGAUCCAGCCAUGCCGCGUGAGUGAAGAAGGCCUC
rnacentral:rRNA from 1 species